AUGAACGCUAGCUACAGGCUUAACACAUGCAAGUCGAGGGGCAGCAUGGUCUUAGCUUGCUAAGGCCGAUGGCGACCGGCGCACGGGUGAGUAACGCGUAUCCAACCUGCCUUACACUCUUGGACAGCCUUCUGAAAGGGAGAUUAAUACAAGAUGUUAUCAUGAGUAAGCAUUUUCGCAUGAUUAAAGGUUUACCGGUGUAAGAUGGGGAUGCGUUCCAUUAGAUAGUAGGCGGGGUAACGGCCCACCUAGUCUUCGAUGGAUAGGGGUUCUGAGAGGAAGGUCCCCCACAUUGGAACUGAGACACGGUCCAAACUCCUACGGGAGGCAGCAGUGGGGAAUAUUGGUCAAUGGGCGAGAGUCUGAACCAGCCAAGUAGCGUGAAGGAUGAAGGUUCUAUGGAUUGUAAACUUCUUUUAUACGGGAAUAAACGGAUCCACGUGUGGAUUUUUGCAUGUACCGUAUGAAUAAGGAUCGGCUAACUCCGUGCCAGCAGCCGCGGUAAUACGGAGGAUCCGAGCGUUAUCCGGAUUUAUUGGGUUUAAAGGGAGCGUAGAUGGGUUGUUAAGUCAGUUGUGAAAGUUUGCGGCUCAACCGUAAAAUUGCAAUUGAUACUGGCAGUCUUGAGUACAGUUGAGGUAGGCGGAAUUCGUGGUGUAGCGGUGAAAUGCUUAGAUAUCACGAAGAACUCCGAUUGCGAAGGCAGCUUACUAACCUGUAACUGACAUUGAUGCUCGAAAGUGUGGGUAUCAAACAGGAUUAGAUACCCUGGUAGUCCACACGGUAAACGAUGAAUACUCGCUGUAGGCGAUAUACAGUCUGCGGCCAAGCGAAAGCAUUAAGUAUUCCACCUGGGGAGUACGCCGGCAACGGUGAAACUCAAAGGAAUUGACGGGGGCCCGCACAAGCGGAGGAACAUGUGGUUUAAUUCGAUGAUACGCGAGGAACCUUACCCGGGCUUAAAUUGCAGCCGAAUAUGGCGGAAACGCUAUAGCUAGCAAUAGCGGUUGUGAAGGUGCUGCAUGGUUGUCGUCAGCUCGUGCCGUGAGGUGUCGGCUUAAGUGCCAUAACGAGCGCAACCCUUUCCGAUAGUUACUAACAGGUUAUGCUGAGGACUCUGUCGGGACUGCCAUCGUAAGAUGUGAGGAAGGUGGGGAUGACGUCAAAUCAGCACGGCCCUUACGUCCGGGGCUACACACGUGUUACAAUGGGGGGUACAGAGGGCUGCUACCACGCAAGUGGAUGCCAAUCCCAAAAACCUCUCUCAGUUCGGAUUGAAGUCUGCAACCCGACUUCAUGAAGCUGGAUUCGCUAGUAAUCGCGCAUCAGCCACGGCGCGGUGAAUACGUUCCCGGGCCUUGUACACACCGCCCGUCAAGCCAUGGGAGCCGGGGGUACCUGAAGUGCGUAACCGCAAGGAGCGCCCUAGGGUAAAACUGGUGACUGGGG
rnacentral:rRNA from 1 species